rnacentral:rRNA from 1 species
AAUACGUUCCCGGGCCUUGUACACACCGCCCGUCACACCAUGGGAGUUGGUUUUACCCGAAGCCGGUGCGGUAACCCUAACGGGGGCUAGCCGACCACGGUAAGGUCAGCGACUGGGGUG